ACCCUAAUUAUAAAUAUCUUUCUCCUUUUUGUUCUCUUUUCAUUGUCGUCUCAAGCGAUUCUAUUCUCUCCUUUUUCCCAAUCUAUUCUCUUCCCCUUUCUGUUGUCAUACAAUGGUGUCUAGCAUUGGACCGGAGGAAUGUAGGGUUUCUAUUCCUGUUUUUGGAGAUUUUGAAUACCCUCCCACUAACAUACACAGCCCUCAAACCCCUGUUCUCAUUUGAUCUCAUUUUCUUCUCAUCGGUUACAACGAUUAAUGUUGGUUCACAGUUGGGAUUAAUCUAGAAAUGUAACGCUAAAGCAGAAAUUGCUUAAUUUGAACGAAAAUGUAAAGUUUAAGGCUUAGAAGGAGCUAGGUCAUGGACCGAUUCAAAACCAAAGGGGAGCCAAAUUGAAAAUCACGGUGUGCAUACGCAGUCAGCAGCUGUAAUUAUGGCUUGCUCCACCUCUGUGAAGGAGUGCCAGGGUUCCCUCGACCAUGCACAUGUUGUUGUUGUAAGCAAGCAUACGGAAAGCAAUAUAUGAAGGUAUCAAAAUCACUCUUGCAAAUAUUGUUGUGAUAUCGAAGGCCUUUUUUUUGCAGGUCUUACUAUGCAUAAAUCGAGUUUUGCAAAUCUUAACAUUGUUCUUUAUUUAGGUUGUUGUUGCAUCACCUCUUGCUGAUCGUGUUUGUAUAAUCGUUGUUUCUUAAUUUUUCUCAUUUUAUGUUUUCUGUUGGUUGUUUGUUUGACCAAACAAGGUAAUAAAAGAGAUCUUUGGCGUUAUUUCUGUAAAUUUUUAUCUGAUGAAAUGGUGGCGUACUCUCUCUUAGAUGGAGCUAGGUUGAACAUGAUCAUGGAUAAUUAAAUGUUUGUAAGGGUGAGCUAAUUCUAGAGGUGCAGAGAGGUGGUGUACUCUCUUAGCUGUAUUAUCUCUACAUUAAUGUUAAAAGUUUUCAGGAUUUUGUUAUGGCUAAUCUUGAAUCGGUCUUUUUUUCUUCUAAAAAAUUUAAAUGGAAAAUAAGGUUCACUUCAGAUUUAGUGGACAAGGUGCAGACUUAGAUGAGAGACUUUAAUAGAGGUCUCCAUGUUGCUUCUCUUCUAUGAUUUUUUUCCCUCGCAGCUUAGUAUUUUUCAUCUGAUCUACUUGGUUGUUUGUUUUGCAGGUUCCCUCUACCAUGCACAUGUUGAUGUUGUAAGCGAAGGCUUUUUUUUUGCAGACAAAAUCGACCACUUUGUUCGGCCAACUGACACGUUUACAAGGCUUAAAUAAUGAGAAGAACGGCUGGAGAAUGAUUUUAGGCCUUGGAUUUUGGGCUCUACAGGUUUUGAAACCAAUUUUUCUCGCAGAUAUCAGAAGAAGUGAACAUGAUUGACACUGCAUCUCCCCUGCCAGAAGAAUCAGGGUUCGACUAGGAGAAAUAGUGGAACAUGGAUAACGAAACUAUUGGCAGAAGACGAGAAAGGAAAUCAAUUUCCGGACGACGUUCCCCCAGUGUUAUUGCAUGUCUGAUGGGUCUUGAUAUGCCUCCACCUGAGCAACAACCUCAUAAAGUGGACAAGGUUUUCAGAGAGUUAUCAAAGGAGAACUGCAACUAUUGGUUUCGUGGAGAAAAACUACUCCUCGCAAUAUGCUAGGUCACCAAACAUCACAUGUUGUAAAACAUGGUAACUCAGCAAAUGCUACGAAAACAACAAGUUCGAUGGUAAGUGAGGCUAAGAUGGAAGACAUAAGGCAUAAGUCAUGGAUGUCAAACGUCUCUCUACUGACAGCCAUGGAACACAUGAGCAUGGGUGGAUGCUGCCAGUGUCGUUGGUCUCUUUAUCGAAUGAGAGAAUAUUACAUCUUCUUUGAGCGGAAGGCGUAAAAAGUUGGAGUUGAUUUUGAUUUUCUUAUUCUGACAUGGAAGGAACAAAAUGUGGGAUUUUUUUGGUCGCAUAAAAUUUGAGUUCAUGGGGUAGAUGUAAAGGCAGUGAUGAACUACUCCCUCCGGUUCAAAAAGAUUCGAACAAUUUCUUGCAUCUGACUCACUUAGAUAUUUUUUUGUUUGUAGUUUGGGUUCUACUAAAGAAACUAUUGGCAGAAGAAAAAAAAAGGAAAUCAAUUUCUAUUCCUUACCAAAUACUUGCUUCCUGUUAUAUUGCAACAUGAGCAGGCACCGAAAUGAUGGUUUUGUAUGUAAAAGCGAGGUCACGACGAAAUGAGAGGAGUUGGAUUACUAUGACCACCAAAGACGUUACCAGUAUUUGUAGUAUGGUAAUCUCUUCUAUUACCCUAUGGUACUGUCAUGCACGUUCCAAACUGUUAGUGAUAUCACGGGUAGAUAUUCAUUCCAUCCAACAGUUGUUGCACAGUAAUUACUGAGUUUAUUUUUGUUCUAGGAGACCAGUUUGUAUCCGAUGAGCAGCUGAUUUCAUUUGAGCCAUUUUUGUUAGUAUACAGUUGAGAAAGGUUCUGUCCUUUUGUUUGGUCCUCAUUUGACUGAUAAUUUAAAACUUAAAGCAGUUGUAAGUGUAUCCCGUAUUAUUUCUGGUAAAGCUGUGAUACAUUUGUAAAUACUGUGAUCAGAAUAAUAACAUGUUUCUUUUGAAAUAAAAUUCUACUUGA